GCCAUUUUUAUCCGAGUAACAAUUGUGUACAUUUCGACCGCUCCCAUAAGCGUUUUCAUAAUUUACAAGUAUCGACUGAUUGUGACUCAAUGCUGUUGCUAGAAAAUCGAGCAAUCAGUUAUCAAUAACGUUCCUCUACUCAGCCUCGACAUAAGAGAAUGGAGCGUUCGUCAGGAGUACCAGAAGUGUGGGUAGUCAUCAUGAGCCUGAUGAUUGGAACAAUGAUGUAUGCUUUGAUGGUGGCCAGAAUAACUGCCAUAGUGACCAGCGUCAGCAAACGCAUAAUAUAAGGAGGUGAUCAGCUACAACUGUGCCAACCUCAUUUCCAACAUGCCGUGCUUAAAGACGCAGACCCCUUCAUCUCUGAGCUGCUGGAGGUGCUGCAGUUUGAGAUUUACCAAACAGGGGGCCUGAUCAUCCACAGGGGGUUUCUGGGAGACUGCAUGUAUUUCAUCGACAGGGGUACCUUUGAGGUAGAGACCUUCAAAUUCACCAAUAGACUGUCUGAUGGAGACUUCUUUGGAGGUAGUUUCGACACAGCAUCACGGACGGCACCACUAUCAAACUUUAAUCGGUGUUGGUGGGGUAUAAGUAGUGCCUCACUAUUUGACUUUGUGGACCAAGUGUCUAAAAUGGUGGUAGCUCAUCCAAAACAAGUAAGGUUGUACAUCUGAUUGGUUUUGUAAUGCACAUGGAUCAUUAGUAUUCUAGAUCAGAACUACUAGACUGAUCUUUUUAUAUGAAACAAGAUAAUGGGGCCUGUAGAUGAGAUAGAGCUGAUGAGCUGUUGCAUAUAGUGCGGCUCAUGUAUGGCACUCUGUUUUAAUAGGGAAAUUAUAGUGAAAGAAGAUUUCCAGUUGAUUGUGUGUGAAUAAAAUAAAAAAUGUGUGCUCAUUAAAUAAUAAGCCG